UACGUAGGUGACCAGCGUUGUCCGGAUUUACUGGGUGUAAAGAGCGCGCAGGCGGUCGUUCAAGUCGAGUGUGAAAGCCCCCGGCUCAACUGGGGAGGGUCAUUCGAUACUGAUCGACUCGAAGGCAGGAGAGGGAAGCGGAAUUCCCGGUGUAGUGGUGAAAUGCGUAGAUAUCCGGAGGAACACCGGUGGCGAAGGCGGCUUUCUGGACCGACACUGACGCUGAGGCGCGAAAGCUAGGGGAGCAAACGGG
rnacentral:rRNA from 1 species